CGGUCUGCACAGCGCCGAUGCAUCUCAAACGAACGGCUUCUCGAUUCAUUUGUCUCUGAAUUGCGAAUCAUUUUGUAUUUUUUGAAUCGUUUCGCAAGCCCUACCUCACACAUGUGCACGGAGCGAGACGGCAGUGCAUGGAAGAUAAUACAGAUGAAUCGCUCCAAAAGAAGAUUACAAAACCAUCCAAAUACAUAACGGUGGAUGAAAACUCAGAGGUCGUAUGUGGGAGCCGCGCGAAAAGCACCGCCAACGUGUCAGCCAAAGAUGCUGCUGGGAUUAAGUAACAGCAAGACUCCUGGGAUUCCAUCAGCUCCUCAGCAUCAGAGUCCCAAGUGAAAAAGAAGAUAAAGAAGAAGAAAAUUAAGAAGCCAAGCAAGAGACACAAAAAAGGAGGAAAAAUAAUGAUAAUUUGUUGUCAUGUUAACAUCAUUAAAAUAAUAAUUGAUAAUCUUUUUUGAAAUAAGUUGUUUAAUUUAUAUUACUAUUAUUGUUAUUCAUAAUUAUUACUGUUAUUAAAAUAAUAUUAAAAUAAAUGUUUUGACAUAAAGGAUAUGCCAUUUUGUGUAUGUAAAUUUGUUGCACCUACGUACCCUGUAACUACGUGGAACAAGAGGGUAACAAGCACCACUUUAAUUUACGGCCCGCAGAUGAUGUAGUUACCCUGUAACUACGUGGAACAAGGGGGUAACAAGCACCACUUUAAUUUACGGCCCGCAGAUGAUGUAGUUACCCUGUAACUACGUGGAACAAGAGGGUAACAAGCACCACUUUAAUUUACGGCCCGCAGAUGAUGUAGUUACCCUGUAACUACGUGGAACAAGGGGGUAACAAGCACCACUUUAAUUUACGGCCCGCAGAUGAUGUAGUUACCCUGUAACUACGUGGAACAAGAGGGUAAGAAGCACCACUUUAAUUUACGGC